rnacentral:rRNA from 1 species
UACGUAGGGGGUUCGGUAAGUCAGGUGUGAAAUCCCGGGGCUCAACCCCGGAACUGCACCCGAUACUGCCGGACUUGAGUAAUGGAGAGGCAGGUGGAAUUCUCGGUGUAGCAGUGAAAUGCGUGGAUAUCGAGAGGAAGACCAAUGGCGAAGGCAGCCUGCUGGACAUUUACUGACGCUGAGGUACGAAGGCCAGGGGAGCGAAAG